GGAGUUUGGACCGUGUCUCAGUUCCAAUGUGGGGGACCUUCCUCUCAGAACCCCUACUGAUCGUCGGCUUGGUGGGCCGUUACCCCGCCAACAACCUAAUCAGACGCAUCCCCAUCCUAUACCGGUAAACCUUUGGUAUUCUUCAGAUGUCCUCGAAAUACAACAUAGAGUAUUAAUCCGACUUUCGCCGGGCUAUUCUCUAGUAUAGGGAAGGUUGGAUACGCGUUACUCACCCGUGCGCCGGUCGCCAGCAACAAUAGCAAGCUAUCGUCCUGCUGCCCCUCGACUUGCAUGUGUUAAGCCUGUAGCUAGCGUUCAUC
rnacentral:rRNA from 1 species